UAGUCGUGAGUCUUCACUGCGCAGCGGUCUGGCCUUUUCUAGUUUUCUAGACGGGCUGGAAAGCAGCCCAGCGGGUUAUUUUCGGGAUUUCUCCCCUCCGUUCCCCCAGGGGCUAGAGAAGGGGAGGAGAUGCGGCAUUAUUUAGCUCCUGGGAGAGAGUGCAAGCGGGGUGGCCACUUUACACCGGCCCGGAAAGUAGGCCGCCACGCUGGACCGAGCCCUAAAAUGGCCGACGGGGCACCAGGGCCGGGGAAAAUGGCAGCCCCCCUUUUGUCCCCCGGGAGAAAGACACACACGGAGGGACCAAGACAGCCAGGAGCAGGAGGGAGAAGGCAGGAGCCAGGCCUCGGGCCACAAUUCCGGGCUGGCUACAGAGUUGCCCCGGGCCAUCGUCCUGGGUUCCCCUCCCCCACCCGCGCUUCUCGGCUACUUCAGCCCUUUGCUCCUCCCAGCCCCACCCCCACCCCCGGCCAAUUUGCUCCCCAGCCCAGAGCCCCCGCGGGCUUUUCCAAAGCCGGGCAGUGGGGUCCCUAGAAAGGCUUCCGUUUGGGGGCUCGUCCUCCCUCUCGGAUACUGAGGCUCCUUCCUCAGAUCUCCUAGAACUCAGCCUAAGUCAACUGGCUUUGCUAGGCUGUAGUUCUUUCUAGCAGUUUUGCCCUCUCCCUUUGUAUCUAAGGCAGAAAUGUUGCAGAAAAAGGGAUUUGCAAUUAGUUGGCAUACAGCCGCCUCUGCAGAGAACUCACUUUUCAACCCACGUCUGGGAAGGGCGGCGGUGGGGGUGGGGCCGGAAGAAAACUAUCCAAGGUCUUGUUGAAAAGAAAAAAAAAAAAAAAACACGCUAGGGACUAUUUUUGCUUGAGUAACAAAGGAGGCGGAGGGUUACGUGUUCCAGGCGGUGAGACCGUCCAUGGUGUAUAAAUAGUCCUCCUCCCAACGCCCUCUCAGGCAGACGGCAGGCAGAGAGGCUAGGCGCUAGCUCAGGUAGGAAGACGAGCGAGCCGAAGCGAGGACCUGAGAGGAAUUUUAACACAGAAUUUUCUUUAGCGCCUAGUUCUAGGGAGCCAGAUGAAGAUUAUUGCUUUAGAAGACAACUGGAGAAAGGCAGAUAAAAGGAGGAACGAGCUCAUUUUAAAGGGAGGUUGAGCUAGAUUAGGCUUUAAGAAAAAUCUGCCAUGCGAAUGACUAAGGGCUCUUAGAAAUCCUUUUUGAUCCAAAUUGCAAGCCAAAGAGGUCUUUUCUGAAGCUCAAAACCAACCUUUCUAUGAGCUUAUCGGAAAGGAUUAAUAAGAGAAUUGACAGAAAAGCUAGCUUUUGUAUGAUAGUUUCGAGCGAGAUACAUUGAAGACAAAAUUUUAGCGAGAAAAAGAAGAUAAAAUCGAAAAAAAAAAAAUACUGGGGGAAAGUAACCGAAAACCCCUUUAAAAUGGCAGAAGCAUUAGAGAGGAGACGAUAGGUUGAGAAAGCAUCAGAAAGAAGACUAGAGGAGAGAAAAUUACUGAAAUAGAUAAGCAAAAAUACAGCAAGGGAGGGGCAAUCGUUAAAAGCAAGGAAUCUAGAAGAAAAAAAUAGCAACAAUUGGAAGAAAAAAUAGAAGUUAGAAAAAUAGCAAGAUUGCAAGAGGAAGAUAGACGUAAAAGGAAAAAAAUGGCAAGAGAACAUUUGAAGAAAAAAUGGUUGAGGUUUGACAAGAAGAUAGAAUUUGAGAGGAAAAAUAACAAUUGGAAGAAAAAGUAGAAAUUAGAAAAAACUGAAGAAGGAAAAUAGAAGUUAGGAAGAUAGCAAGAAUGGAAGAGGAAACUAGAAAGAAAAAAUAGCAAAAGAACAAUUGGGAAGAAAGAAAAUAGAAGUUAGAAAAAAAGAUUGGAAGAGGAAACUAGAACUUAGGAAAAAAUAGCAAAGAGAAGAAUUUAAAGAAGAAAAUAGAAUUGAGAGGAAAAAAUAGCAAGAAAAAAUACAGCUUUAGAAGAGGACCAGGAAUUUUGAAGAGGUUAAAUGAAAAUAGCAUUUUGGAAGAGAGGAAUUUGACAGCAAAAGCAUCUAAAAAAAAAAGAAUAGCCAAAGAAAAUUCGAGAAAAAUGUAGAAGAAAGGCACAAGACAAAUUGGCUAAAGAAAAAAAAUAGGAAGAUUAGCAAGAAUUCAUAGCAAAGGAAAAA